rnacentral:rRNA from 1 species
AACGAACGCUGGCGGCAUGCCUAACACAUGCAAGUCGAACGAGACCUUCGGGUCUAGUGGCGCACGGGUGCGUAACGCGUGGGAACCUGCCCUUAGGUUCGGAAUAACUCCCCGAAAGGGGUGCUAAUACCGGAUAAUGUCUUCGGACCAAAGAUUUAUCGCCUUUGGAUGGGCCCGCGUUGGAUUAGCUAGUUGGUAGGGUAAAAGCCUACCAAGGCGACGAUCCAUAGCUGGUCUGAGAGGAUGAUCAGCCACACUGGGACUGGGACACGGCCCAGACUCCUACGGGAGGCAGCAGUGGGGAAUAUUGGACAAUGGGCGAAAGCCUGAGCCAGCAAUGCCGCGUGAGUGAUGAAGGCCUUAGGGUUGUAAAGCUCUUUUACCCGGGAUGAUAAUGACAGUACCGGGAGAAUAAGCUCCGGCUAACUCCGUG